rnacentral:misc_RNA from 1 species
UGAUCACUAAUGACGUCAUGUGAUGAGUUAAUUAGGACAACAAAUGGAUCUGUCGGUGAAAUACCAACCAUUGAAUUAAAAAAAAAAAGAUGUGUGAUUUAUUAUAAAACCGCUUUGGUAUGAAACUAUUAAAAUAUCUGUGGAAUUAAGCAAAUGAUGAUUACUCAUGCAUUGAUGAUGAAAUCACUAAAUACCAAUGUUUCUGCUGCAUAGCGCUGCUUCUGUAUAACUAUACUUCGUAAGAAAAAAAAGUGUUGAAAUUUAUGUUAUUAGGAUUUUGGAGAAAUGAUUAUUUAUUAUGGAAUUGAUAUUGAAUGAAUAAAAAAAGUUUUUUUUUUUAUCUUCCGUCGGAAGAAUGAAUGAU